CCCUUAGAUGUUCUGGGCCGCACGCGCGCUACACUGACGAAUGCAACGAGCUUAUAACCUUGGCCGAAAGGUCUGGGUAAUCUCCAAAUUUCGUCGUGAUGGGGAUAGAUUAUUGCAAUUAUUAAUCUUCAACGAGGAAUGCCUAGUAGCGCAAGUCAUCAGCUUGCGUUGAUUACGUCCCUGCCCUUUGUACACACCGCCCGUCGCUCCUACCGAUUGAAUGGUCCGGUGAAGCGUUCGGACCGUGGCCUUUGGACGGUUCGCCGUCUGUUGGCUGCGGGAAGUUCGUUAAACCUUAUCAUUUAGAGGAAGGAGAAGUCGUAACA
rnacentral:rRNA from 1 species